AGUGGCGCACGGGUGAGUAACGCGUGGAUAAUCUGCCUUUUAGUUGGGAAUAACGUACCGAAAGGUGCGCUAAUACCGGAUAAUACUGCACAACUACUGUUAUGUAGUCAAAGAAGGCCUCUGUUUACAAGCUUUUGCUGAAAGAUGAGUCCGCGUACCAUUAGCUAGUUGGUAGGGUAAUGGCCUACCAAGGCUACGAUGGUUAGCUGGUCUGAGAGGAUGAUCAGCCACACUGGAACUGAGACACGGUCCAGACUCCUACGGGAGGCAGCAGUGAGGAAUAUUGCGCAAUGGGGGCAACCCUGACGCAGCAACGCCGCGUGAGUGAGGAAGGUUUUCGGACCGUAAAGCUCUGUCGAGUGGGAAGAAAUGUAUUAUGGCUAAUAUCCAUGAUACUUGACGGUACCGCUAAAGGAAGCACCGGCUAACUCCGUGCCAGCAGCCGCGGUAAUACGGGGGGUGCAAGCGUUGUUCGGAAUUAUUGGGCGUAAAGAGCGUGUAGGCGGCUGAAUAAGUCAGAUGUGAAAUCCCUGGGCUUAACCCAGGAAGUGCAUUUGAAACUAUUCAGCUUGAGUAGGGGAGAGGAAAGUGGAAUUCCUGGUGUAGAGGUGAAAUUCGUAGAUAUCAGGAGGAACACCGGUGGCGAAGGCGACUUUCUGGCCCUAUACUGACGCUGAGACGCGAGAGCGUGGGUAGCAAACAGGAUUAGAUACCCUGGUAGUCCACGCUGUAAACGAUGUUCACUAGGUGU
rnacentral:rRNA from 1 species